rnacentral:misc_RNA from 1 species
GAUGAAGAACGCAGCGAAAUGCGAUAACUAGUGUGAAUUGCAGAUUUCAGUGAAUCAUCGAGUCUUUGAACGCACAUUGCGCCCCCUGGUAUUCCGGGGGGCAUGCCUGUCCGAGCGUCAUUGCUGCCCUCAAGCACGGCUUGUGUGUUGGGCUCCGUCCCCCCGGGGACGGGCCCGAAAGGCAGCGGCGGCACCGAGUCCGGUCCUCGAGCGUAUGGGGCUUUGUCACCCGCUCUGUAGGCCCGGCCGGCGCCAGCCGACAACCCAUCAUCCUUUUCAGGUUGACCUCGGAUCAGGUAGGGAUACCCGCUGAACUUAAGCAUAUCAAUAAGCGGAGGA